UCGAGGUUCAUAUAGCGGCCCAAAGGAGUGGAUUCUCUUUCUAGUGCAACAGUGUUCAGAGGCUGUCGUAAAACUGUGUAAACGAUGAGACAGGUGGUCGCUGUUUUGUUCGGAGUGCUGGUUGUUCUGCUUGGUGCAGCUUAUUCGCUGCCACAACAACUGAAGGGAAAACCAUUGGGCGAGAAAUGCACCAAACCAGGAUCGAUUAUGCCUAUCGGGCAGAAUAUUCACUGUGUGUGUAAUAAGUGGAGCUAUUACCAAUCUUGCCGGCUUGAAGUAACAUCUUAGAUAUAGCCAAUAAAGAUAAUGUGGACGAAAUACAAAAACUACAUCGGCUUAUGAAAGUAUUUUUAAUGUAUAACAUUCAAUUAAAAUGCUGCAAAUAUACCAUUAUCGUGUCCAUUUAGAAAAUAA